rnacentral:tRNA from 1 species
UACCCUAGUGGUUAAGGCUAUGGAUUGCCAAUCCGGAGACGGCGGGUUCGAUUCCCGU